rfam:Schistosoma mattheei strain Denwood, Zambia genome assembly, scaffold: SMTD_scaffold0001887
AUUCAGCUGUUGAGUUCCAAAUAGGAAAAAACGCGCGUCCUGGAU